rfam:Anaerobium acetethylicum strain GluBS11 genome assembly, contig: Ga0116910_1036
GUGUUUGUAGCUCAGUUGGAUAGAGCAUCGGCCUUCUAAGCCGAGGGUCUAGGGUUCGAAUCCCUACAAGCACA